AAUAAAUUAAUAACUUACUAAAGCUAAAGAUUUAAAACUAACAAUUGUUAGGACAUGAGGUAGCUAUAUGGGCUCACUUAUCAUGGACCUAGGCUGGGCUCCAAAAACAAGCCCUUAUCUGAAACUAUGGGCAAGCCCAAUGGGCUAGCUAGAUCUCAAGCUCGAGCUGGGCUCCAAAAAUAAGCCCAAAUCUAAUGCUAGCAUGGGCGGGCUCAAGUAAACAUCUUCCUCACCA
rnacentral:lncRNA from 1 species